rnacentral:tRNA from 1 species
UCCAUGGCUGAAUUGGUCUAAGCAUUGCCGUUUAGAGGCAAAGAUGCCGGUUCAAGCCCCACUGGA